ensembl:lncRNA
GAAAAAGGCUCCCCACUGGUCUCAGGUUACCUAUCUUUUCAGUUUCUAUUUUUAAAACUUCCUUCCUCUUAUUUUAUGCUACAGACAUGCUGAAGUUUUUUUACCUUGUCGUGUCCUGUUCCCCUUGCCUAGAAAUCCAUCACCCAACAUUGAAACUCCGCCCAUGGGCCUCAAAUGGCGGAAGAACUGCACGCUACGUCGUGACUUCUCACACUACUGCGGAGGUAUCCCGACGCUACGCCGCCGGCGUAGGCGGGGCGGCCGGCUCUUCCUUCCUCUCUGCUUCUUCGGCUCCACCCCCAGCGUUUCACACGCUCAUUGUGAAGCGACAGCGGCAGGCAGUCUUCAAGGCUGCCUGAGACCUAGAGACCCUAAGUCCUUGGCGCACGCAAGCGCCCCGCGCUGCUCUUUCCCCACUCCAAAGGCGAGGGGCGCGAGAUUCACCUUUCUUUAUUCUUUCUUCUCCCGCCCGCAGCUAACCGCCCCGGUGCGCGCGGACAUCUCGGGCCGCGGCUCCCUCCUCCCCG